AGCGACUGAUAAAAGAAUCCUCCUUCAAAAGUUCAGUAACUGUAUCUGCAUAAACUAAGUGAGGUUACUCUUUUUCUCAUAUUGCUUCAGGCAAAUAAGAUCAGCCCAACUAUUGUUCAACAGGCAAUGCAGAGAGAAGCCAGAAAAGAAGAUAACGUUGCUCAGUAUUGCAAUCUGUUUACAGGAAGACAAGCAGAGCUGAACCAACAUCCAGCCCCCUAGGAAAGCCAGCCAGUGCCUGUGAAGAUGUAGACUCGAAGGACAAUGAGCCCCUGAAACACCUGCUCCGGAGCCCCACCUGGUCAGGGGUGUCUUAGAUUUGUUACCUGCAGGCUGGCCCCUCAGUCUCCACUCCAGACCGAGCCCUGGCACCAGCCAUCUAUACCAGUGGACAUUAAAUGUAUCCAGGGCUUGUAUGGAGAAGGGAGAAGAUGAGUCUCUGAUAGGUAUUGACUCUGGACCACUCACUGGAGACGUCAACAAUGAGCUAGAAACUCCAUCUUCAUGAAGCUCUCGGUCCCUGGCACCCUAAGGAAGCCAAAGCAUACAGUUCCUUUUCGAAGGAGAGAAAAGUAUUAAUCUGUAUAGCCAAAAAUAAACCGGGCCUCUCUGGGUAUAAAUCUGGCGGAACCAGGCUCAGAGCACUAAUUAAAGUUA